rnacentral:rRNA from 1 species
GAUGAACGCUGGCGGCGUGCUUAAUACAUGCAAGUUGAGCGCUGAAGGUUGGUACUUGUACCAACUGGAUGUGCAGCGCACGGGUGUGUAACGUGUGGGGAAUCCGCUUUAGAGCGGGGGACAACUUUUGGACUCGAACGAUAAUCCCGUAUAACAACUUUAAACAUACGUUUUAAGUUUGAAAGAUGCAAUUGCAUCACUCAAAGAUGCUCUCGCGUUGUAUUAGCUAGUUGGUGAGGUAAAGGCUCACCCAGGCGAUGAUACUUAGCCGACCUGCGAGGGUGAGCAGCCGCAUUGGGACUGAGACACGGCCCAAACUCCUACAGGAGGCAGCAGUAGUGAUUCGUCGGCAAGGAACGAAAGUCUGACCGAGCAACGCCGCAGGAGUGAGGAGGGAUGUCGGAUCGUAAAACUCUGUUGGUGGAGAAUAACGUUGGUGAGAGUGGAAAGCACAUCAAGUGACGGUAACUACCCAAAAAGGAACGGCUAACUACGUG